rnacentral:misc_RNA from 1 species
GAAAUGCGAUAAGUAGUGUGAAUUGCAGAAUUCAGUGAAUCAUCGAAUCUUUGAACGCACAUUGCGCCCCUUGGUAUUCCAUGGGGCAUGCCUGUUCGAGCGUCAUUUGUGCCCUCAAGCUCUGCUUGGUGUUGGGUGUUUGUCCCGUCUCCGCGCGUGGACUCGCCCCAAAGUGAUUGGCAGCCAGCGUACUGGUCCCGGAGCGCAGCACAUGUCGCGCAAACGAGUGCCUUGGUACGGCGGCGUCCAUAAGCCCCUCUCUCACGCUCUUGACCUCGGAUCAGGUAGGGAUACCCGCUGAACUUAAGC